AUGGCGAACCCUAAUCUGACAGCCGGCUACGUGUUCCAACCCACCGGCCGUGAGCUCAUCCACCACUACCUCGUCCCCAGGGCGGGGCUCGGCGGCGGCAUCUUCCCCGGCUUCAUCGAGGAGGGCGUGGACGUCUUGUCCUUGCCCCCGCGUGAGCUCCCCUUUCGGGAAAACCACGUAAGGGAUUACGGCGAGGUAUGGGGCUUCUUCUUCGCGGCAAAGCCCGCCGGCGAGACGUGCCCGACGCCGGGCGCGGGCGGGUGCUGGGUGCAGUACGGCACGGAGAAGGCGUACUACGGCGGUGAGGGCGGCCGGGAGGCAGUGGCGUUCCGGCGCAGGGACGCGGCCGCCUUCCGCCGCGCGCACCCGGACCCCGAGGCGGCGGACGUCGUCUUCGUGGUCCACAAGGUCUACCGGAAGCCGGUGCUCCCCCCGCCUGCUGACAGCAGCUCCAGCGACAGCGAGGAGGAGGGCUCCGAGCGCUCCAUCGUGUUGAAGAAGAGGCGGUAG
rnacentral:rRNA from 1 species